AUGAGUGAAAAAUUAAAGGCUGAUGGAUGGUUUGGGGCACCAACAUGGGGCACUUAAUCCUGAAGGAGAGACAUCUUCUAUGUCAUACUUGACCAACACACACACACACAAACCCCAGCAAGCCUCAGAGGCACUGCAGGCUUGGCAGAUGUCUUGGGUGGCUUUGCAGUCCCUGACACUCCUCUCCCUAUGCACUUGGGAAUCCUGCCAGCACCAGACACUAUUUGAUACACGCUGAGGGUGACAGCAAAGGUGUGUCAUGAGGGAGGCAGAGUUUGUCACCCUUACCAUGAGGGUGACACUUAGAGAGGUGCAGGCUACCCUACACAAAGGGAUUACACCAUUUCAGGCUCCCCAGGGCAAUAAGGCUGUGCACAGACCAGAUCACCUCGGCUUAAGUGAGGCUACUCCAGCACCGCCCUGCAGGGCUGAUUUUCCCUGAGAUUGAAUGUCCCUGCAACCACGUCAUGAAAACAAAUCUCAUCUGAAUGCUGACCUGCCCUGAAAGAUAUUUAUGAGACUUGUGUAAUUAAACGUUCAUAACUUCAGCUGAAACACAGAGAUGAAAAUGCAAGAUGUAAUUAUGAAGCAUUAUUAUGGUGACAGUGUGGCUAAAACUGAAGUGAUCCAAGAGGGACAGCUCUCCAGCCUUGCACCUUUUUGUCAAGAUCUUGCACUCCAUAAGGAUUAGGAGCUGAGAAACUGGGGGGCUAAGCUUGAUGUGUGUUGCCUUAUUUCUUAUGUGGCCAGCAGCACCGCUGAGCAUGGCAAGCGGGACCCUCUCCCUCUGUGUUCCAGGACAUGAGGACUUCCAGUGACAAGGCAUUUACUCACCAAGAACCAUUAAGAGUGAAGGAAAUCUCUGGAGAACUUGCCUGCUCACUGUGUGAAUCACGGUUUUCAUUAGCUUUCCACAGCAGUUGGCAGUGCAGGAGCCUCUCCAGCAUCCAGAUGAAGAAGAGUGUGAGAAGCCAGUCCCAGCCACUGCACAGGAGAAGAUGCAAGAAGUCCUGCAGCUGACAUGCAUUGAAUAAUUAUUCUAACAGAAGAAUAAUGUGCAAAAAAUUUUGAUCAAAUUACUUUUUAUUACAGUGAAGUGGAGCACAGAAGCUGGGGCACAAUGAGAUUUCCACACAAGAUCAGAUCAUCUGUCCACCCAUCCCAGAUGUCUGCCUCUGGCCAUAACAGCAAUAGCUUUAAGCCAAGUGUUCUGCUGCUCACUUAGGGCCCUGUAUUGAAUUAUGCUCAUUUACAGAUCCCCAGAGGAGCUUAGUGUCUGCCUUUGGCAAUAAGAGAGGAAAGAAAGAAUGAACUGCUGCUGAGUUUCCAGUCCUGGGCAGGAGCAAACCCAUCUCCUGCAACAAAGCCCCAUUCUCUUACCCUCCAAAUGGUUCCUGCUCCAGGUUUUGCCAGGAGACCCACCACUCCUCAGCAGCACCACCACAGAAGCAGUAGGACCAUUUGUGAAAUGUUUGAAACAAAUACUCCUGCCCCAGUUUCGUGCCCCAGAUCCAUGUGAGUGUGGAUCACUUCCAACUCCUGCAAUGACACAUCUUGUUUAUCUAAUAUAAAAUCACUAGCUGCAGAGC